AAUUUGCUGCAGAAGUCGCCGUUUCCUGAACAUCUUCAUCUUCGAACGCCCCAGCGCGAUGGUUCGGUACUCAACACUUAUGUUCCCUCGUCGCUGUACUCUUCAAAGCUCUUCCAGGACGAGGGCAACUUCGCAUCUAUGGUGGUGACGGAAGACGACGGCCUGCAACUGCGCGGCAUGAUUGGCGACGACUUGCGCAUCGAACCCCU